UUUUGCCUUCAAUAAAGAGCUAAGCUGUGACUCCUGCCUUAAAAUUCUGUCAAAAUUGUGAAUGCUGGUUUUGAAUUACUUUGCUACCUGAAGAUUGUUGUCAAAGUGACUGUUUCUUCUAAGGAAAGGAGCAAGCUUUUGGAGGAAGGAGAUGGAAGAAAAAAACAGGCUUGGAAGGAAGCCUAAAAUAUACAGAGGGGAAGUGAAUGAGCAUAGCUGAAAGCAAGAAUUCAAAGGAAAUAGAACUGUGAGUGAA
rnacentral:lncRNA from 1 species